rnacentral:rRNA from 1 species
AAGANAACCUGCGGAAGGAUCAUUGUGGAAAUUGAACGGAAGAAUGACCCCGCGAAUCGGUNNUNGCGUCCUAGANAANAGGGCUNGNNAGCUCCUAANGNUNAUGCGGUUCGCGUNGNGUCGGCGCGGAUGUNCUCGAUNCCCGCGUCACAUCGAUGAACAAACAACGUCAGCACGAAUCGUGCCAAGGAGCUGCAUGGGAGGGAAUCGUUGUCCCCCGCCUUCGAUUGUCUUCGAUGCGGGACGGGAGGCGGGGGCAUAUAUACGCGAUCUCUACUCGAGUCUAAAUGACUCUCGGCAACGGAUAUCUCGGCUCUUGCAUCGAUGAAGAACGUAGCGAAAUGCGAUACUUGGUGUGAAUUGCAGAAUCCCGUGAACCAUCAAUUCUUUGAACGCAAGUUGCGCCCGAAGCCAUUCGGCCGAGGGCACGCCUGCCUGGGCGUCGUGAAUCCCCUUGCCCCUUGGCACCCGCGUUCRUGCAUGCGCAUCGACGGGGAUAUGCUCGGGCGCAGAUUAUGGUCUCCCGUGGGAUCGGCAUGCACGGCAUGUCGAGGUGCGGUUGGCCGAAAGUCGAGCAUGGCGGUGACGGGCACCACGGCGUUCGGUGGAUCGAACGAGAUUGGCUGCGCUGUGGGCUCGGCGCGCUGCGGGCUCCGGACUUUGACAAUCCCCCGGUGCGAUCCCAGGUCAGGCGGGGCUACCCGCUGAGUUUAAG